UGGCGGCCUUAGCGCGGUGGUCCCACCUGACCCCAUGCCGAACUCAGAAGUGAAACGUCGUAGCGCCGAUGGUAGUGUGGGGUCUCCCCAUGCGAGAGUAGGAAACUGCCA
rnacentral:rRNA from 1 species